rnacentral:rRNA from 1 species
UGGGGAAUAUUGGGCAAUGGACGCAAGUCUGACCCAGCAACGCCGCGUGAAGGAAGAAGGCUUUCGGGUUGUAAACUUCUUUUAAGGGGGAACAGUAGAAGAGGGUACCCCUUGAAUAAGCCACGGCUAACUACGUGCCAGCAGCCGCGGUAAUACGUAGGUGGCAAGCGUUGUCCGGAUUUACUGGGUGUAAAGGGCGUGCAGCCGGAGAGACAAGUCAGAUGUGAAAUCCGCGGGCUUAACCCGCGAACUGCAUUUGAAACUGUUUCCCUUGAGUAUCGGAGAGGU